UACGAAGGGGGCUAGCGUUGCUCGGAAUCACUGGGCGUAAAGCGCACGUAGGCGGAUUGUUAAGUCAGGGGUGAAAUCCUGGAGCUCAACUCCAGAACUGCCUUUGAUACUGGCGAUCUUGAGUCCGGGAGAGGUGAGUGGAACUCCGAGUGUAGAGGUGAAAUUCGUAGAUAUUCGGAAGAACACCAGUGGCGAAGGCGGCUCACUGGCCCGGUACUGACGCUCAGGCGCGAAAGCGUGGGGAGCGAUCCGG
rnacentral:rRNA from 1 species